UCUCACAGUUCUGCAGGCUAUACAGGAAGCAUGAUGCUGGCAUCUGCUCAGCUUCAGGGGAUGCCUCAAGAAACUUACAAUCUUGGCAGAAGGCGAGGGGAGCAGGCACAGCCAGAGUAGGAGCAAGAGAGAGUGAGUGGGGAGGCACUGCACACUUUUAAACAACCAGAUCUUGAGAGAACUCACUAUCUUGAGAACAGCACCAAACGGAUGGUGCUAAACUAUUCAUGAGAAAUCCACCCCCAUGAUCUAAUCACUUCCUACCAGGCCCCACCUCCAACACUGGGAAUUACAAUUUGACCUGAGAUUUGGGUGGGAACACAGAUCCAAACUCUAUCAGAAUAUAUUUAAUGCCACUGAACUGUACCCCUAACCAUGGUUAAAUGGUAAACGUUAUGUGCUUUGCCACAGUAAGAAAAGCGGCAGCCCGCUGGGCGCGGUGGCUCACGCCUGUAAUCCCAGCACUUUGGGAGGCAGAGGCGGGAGGAUCACGAGGUCAGGAGAUCGAGACCACAGUGAAACCCCGUCUCUACUAAAAAUACAAAAAAUUAGCUGGGCGCAGUGGCGGGCACCUGUAGUCCCGGCUACUCGGGAGGCUGAGGCAGGAGAAUGGCGUGAACCCGGAAGGCGGAGCUUGCAGUGAGCCGAGAUCCUGCCACUGCACUCCAGCCUGGGCGACAGAGCGAGACUCCGUCUCAAAAAAAAAAAAAAAAAAAGAAAAGAAAAGAAAAGCGGCAGCCCUGCCCCCACCAACAUGCGUAAUUUUUCUCACUAGCAUCUAUCUCCUUUAGACAUAAAUUCUAUUCAUGUGUUUUGUUUCUCCCCACACUAAACUCCCAGUGCCAUGAAGACAUAUUUGUCAUGUGCUCAUGGUUGUAUCCCCCAGUUGCUAGAGCCAUGCCUGGGGGCAUAGGAGAUGCUCAAGAAAUACUAGUCAAAUGAAUGGAAGAAGGAACCUCUAUGCCUCAGUUUCCUUAUCUGUGAAAUGGGGAUAAACCUCACCCUUCAGAGUUGUUGUAAACUGUGAGUGGCAUACAUAGGUAACGGGCCCAGCACAGAGUGUGGUGCUUGAUGCACAGAAAAUGCUCAUGGCCGGGCAUGGUGGCUCACGCCUGGAAUCCCAGCAUUUUGGGAGGCUGAGGCAGGUGGAUUGCUUGAGCUCAGGAGUCGAGACCAGCUUGGGCAACAUAGUGAGAUCCCGUCUCUACAAAAAAUAGAAAAAUUAGCCAGGCAUGGUGGCACGUGCUGGUAGUCCCAGCUACUCGGGAGGCUGAGGUAGGAGGAUCACUUGAGCCUGGGAGGCAGAAGUUGCAGUGAGUGGUGAUUGCGCCACUGGACUCCAGCCUGGGCGACAGAGUGAGACCCUGCCUCAAUGCUCAGUACAUGUACACCCUCUUCCUUGGGAAGUAGCUCCACUCAUAGACCUUAGGCCCUGGAGCCAGACCAUGUGAGUUCAAGUCCUCCUAUCACUUCCAGCUAAUUGAACUCGGCAAGUGACAACCUCUCUGUAAAAUGGAAACACAGAGUGACAAACUCAGGGAAGUCUUGUGAGGAUUGAAUGAAACACACAAGUGUCCCAGAAAGGGCAGUUCUCAGUGUGCUAGUUCUGUUCUUUCCCAUGCAGGUCCCUCUCCGGUGCCCAGCCAGACAGGAAGUACAGAUGCCCAUACCUCCAGAUCCCUGACUCCCUCCCCAGCUCUCGGGUCUGCAGGAUCCCUCUGGAUUGCAGCUGAGAGGAGUUCCCCAGCAGGCAGGGACCCCACGAGACAAGACGCAGCUUUGGAAGGUUACACCUUGCUCCUACUCUUCCCACCAAAAUCAUACCUGUCCCUCUCUAGGUGAUGGGGACGGGGCAGAGGACCCAGGCCGAGGCCUGAGUGGACUUUCUCUUCCCACAGGCCCCCAGCUCUGAGGGGUGGCGCUGGCCUCCUCGAUGCUCCUGGCCUCUGCUGGCCUCCUCCUGGGCCUCCUCUGGUGCUGUUGCUCUCCCAGCUGGCUGGCCUGGCAACCUGGUGCCCGUGGCCUCUGCCUCCACUGCAGCACAGCCUGUACCACGUGCUACCCAUGUCCCAGCCAGGUCUCCCCAGGGGGCUGCAGUUGAGUGGCCCAGCCUUAUAGGAUCAGGGAGGCCAUCCCUAGAGGGGCUUCGGGCACAUGGGAAUGAUACUAGGCUCUGGGGUCAGACUCUUUGGGUUCUAACCCCCUGGCUCUCUGUCUGAUGUUGGACAGGCCCCCUAACCCUCUGAGACUCAGCUGCCCCUCUAGAAAAUAGGACAAUUCCUGCCUCACAGGGUUGGGGGCCUGGGGGCCUCGCUGAUCCCAAGCCAGCUUGCUUCACCCCCAGAUCUCACCUGCCCUGCUCUGCCCCUGGCGGGGAUAGCACCGUUUAUUAAGAAAAAUCAAGACAAAGACCACAGGAGGGUCCCUUCUAGGACACAGAGGCCAGGCGUCCCAACCCCACAGUCUGGGGGCCACUGGCAGGAUGGCACUUGAGCUGGAUCUUCAGGCUCCUGCAGAUGGGGCAGGGUGGUCAUAUCCCCCUCCUCUCUCUCUCAGUCGUGAGUCCUGCCUUCCCCCACCUAAGGCACUAGCUCUUCCUGAGCACCAGCGGCAUCCGUCCGUCCGUUGUCUGUUGGAGGAGUCCCUGGGCCUUCACUUCCAGAUGGGUGGGGAUGUGGCCUGGGGUGGGCGGGGCCCGGUGGGCGGGGCCCUAUCAGUGCUGGGCUCUGCCUGUAGCAGCUCCUGGUAAGAGUUGGGGUGGGCCUUCCCUUACAGCCCCUGAGGGAGGGACCCCAGGCUGUGUGCUGGCAGGAGGGGGUGGGAAUGCAGGCCAGGAGGACGUGGUAGGAGGGGGAGUCUGCCAGAGGAGGUGCCAGGGGCUGGGUGGAGGUGGGUGGGGGUGCUGAAAAACGAGCUGGUGGGGAUGGGGACCGCCUGCCCAGGGGUGAGCUGCCUUUUGCUCCACAGCCGGCACUAAAGACAAUUCCCAAUCCUGAGUGGGUGGCAGAGACUCCUGCGAUGCCCGUCUCAGGUAGCUGUGGGGCACCAGCCCACAAGCCGAGGUUGGCUCUCCUAGGAGUGAGAACUGCCCAAGGGCUGCAGAAACAGGCCACCCAGCUCUAUCUGGGGGCUCCAUCGGUGGGUAGGGGGACAGUGGGGGCAGUUCUGGGCCCACCCAGCCACUGUUCCUGACCCCAAGUCCUGGUGACUUUCUGAGGUGCCCACUCCCAUCCAACCUGCCUUGCUGGCCAGCCUUGUGGCUUUGCCCAGCUGUGUGUGUGAGGGUGGCAUGCCCACCUCCAGUCCAGCCCAGGGCGGUAGCAGCAAAGCGUGGCAUCGCCUCGGUUUCUUACAAAAAUUCAUAAUAAUAUUAAUAAUAAUAUACUCGACAUUGUCGGGCUGGGGCGUGGCCCGGGAGUCCGUGUGGGGCAGGCAGGUGCCUACGAGGGGCAGGGGCGUG
rnacentral:lncRNA from 1 species